ACGGCCGCAAGGUUAAAACUCAAAUGAAUUGACGGGGGCCCGCACAAGCGGUGGAGCAUGUGGUUUAAUUCGAUGCAACGCGAAGAACCUUACCUGGUCUUGACAUCCACAGAACUUUCCAGAGAUGGAUUGGUGCCUUCGGGAACUGUGAGACAGGUGCUGCAUGGCUGUCGUCAGCUCGUGUUGUGAAAUGUUGGGUUAAGUCCCGCAACGAGCGCAACCCUUAUCCUUUGUUGCCAGCGGUUAGGCCGGGAACUCAAAGGAGACUGCCAGUGAUAAACUGGAGGAAGGUGGGGAUGACGUCAAGUCAUCAUGGCCCUUACGACCAGGGCUACACACGUGCUACAAUGGCGCAUACAAAGAGAAGCGACCUCGCGAGAGCAAGCGGACCUCAUAAAGUGCGUCGUAGUCCGGAUUGGAGUCUGCAACUCGACUCCAUGAAGUCGGAAUCGCUAGUAAUCGUAGAUCAGAAUGCUACGGUGAAUACGUUCCCGGG
rnacentral:rRNA from 1 species